rnacentral:rRNA from 1 species
UCCCCGGGCUGCAUGGCCUGGGGAUGAAAGGUGGCCUCUGCUUGCAAGCCGCCGCCGAUGGAUGGUCCCGCGUCCCAUUAGCUAGUUGGUAGGGUAACGGCCUACCAAGGCUGCGAUGGGUAGGCGGCCUGAGAGGGUGACCGCCGUCACUGGGACUGAGAUACGGCCCAGACUCCUACGGGAGGCAGCAGUCGAGAAGCUUCGGCAAUGGGCGAAAGCCUGACCGAGCGACGCCGCGUGAGCGAUGAAGGCCCUAGUGGUUGUAAAGCUCUGUCAGAUUGGGAAUAAAUGCCGGGGGCGAAUAACCCCUGGAGCUGAAGGUACCGUCAGAGGAAGCACCGGCUAACUCCGUGCCAGCAGCCGCGGUAAUACGGAGGGUGCAAGCGUUGUUCGGAUUCACUGGGUAUAAAGGGUGCGUAGGCGGCCUUGUAAGUCAGAGGUGAAAGCUGCCGGCUUAACUGGCAAAUUGCCUUUGAGACUGCAAGGCUUGAGUCCGGGAGAGGAAGGCGGAAUUCCAGGUGUAGCGGUGAAAUGCGUAAAUAUCUGGAGGAACACCGGUGGCGAAGGCGGCCUUCUGGUCCGGUACUGACGCUGAGGCACGAAAGCCAGGGGAGCAAACGGGAUUAGAUACCCCGGUAGUCCUGGCCGUAAACGAU